rnacentral:RNase_P_RNA from 2 species
CUAGGAAGUCAGAUAAUCGCCCCGCCAUUACAUGUAAUGGCGGGGAGGAAAGUCCGAACUUUCACCGAGCGCAUAAAUUUUAUGUGCUCGGUAAAAGGGUAGCAGGUAACACCUACCAGCUGUAAAGCUAGAGAUGCGAACAGAGACGUCCCGAGACGAAAGUCAAGGGACGCCCACCGGAGCUUUAGCGAAGGUGGACGAGUCCAGAUAGUAAUAUCUGGGGUGAAACGGCUAAAUUCUUACCCGGAAGCAAGGUCAAGCCAAGAGUUUGAGUUUUAUCUUGAACCUCUUGGAAAAAGUAGACCGCAAGAUCCCGAGAGCAAUCAAGGGACCAGACAGAUGAUUAUCUAAAACAGAAUUCGGCUUACAGGCUUCCUAGGAUA